UGUGUUUGGUUGAAUUGCGGAAACCACGAAUGAAAAGGUUUACUAAUAGUUGUUGUGUGUGUGAAUCAGGAGGCAAUAUAAAAAUAAGUUUUCGUAAACCUGCAUUCCUUCCGAUGUAAGGGUUGACUCAAGGUAAAUUUGUAGUGUCUGUAGCUACAAGAAAGGCAAUAUUUACGUGUGUGCAGCUUUGUAGUUGACUAAUGAUUACUCUGCUGUAUAUUUUUCAAGCCUAACAAAUGGAGGACAAUUCAAGUAAUUCGUAUGUUACUGGAAAGAAGUUGUUUGUUUUGUGGGUGAUAUUUCUUCUUUACCUCCUUUUUGGUGGCUUAAUUUUCAGUGUGCUAGAGAAAGGCAAUGAGGAUAUUCAGAGAAAAAGAGCUAGAAUAACGAAGAAAGAGUUCAUUUAUAAUUACACCUGCUUGGAUGCUUCAUCUUUGGAAGAUCUCAUUUCUACCCUCCUUGAAAUCCAGGCUCAGGGUGUGGAUCCCAGGGAAAAUGUAACUGGCCCAUCCAAAUGGGAUUUUACAAGCUCUUUGUUUUUUAGUGGCACUGUGGUCACAACUAUUGGUUAUGGCAACAUUGCACCAAGUUCAAGAGCGGGACAGCAAUUCUGCAUCUGCUAUGCCCUGAUUGGCAUUCCUUUAUGUGGGUUUGUCCUGGCGGAAUUGAGUAACCGAGUAAAGAAUCGCUCUUUGAAGUUCAAGGAAAGAGUCAUGAAAAUAUGGAAAAAGAAUAAAGAGAAUAGAGCAGAGGUUUUCUACAUGGCAAUGAUUUGCACAAGCGGAUUUUUUCUUUUCUUUACAAUCCCUGCAGUCAUCUUUGCUCUUGUAGAAGAUUGGAGCUAUCAUUUAGCAUUCUAUUACUGUUUUAUUACUCUCAGUACCAUAGGCUUUGGCGAUUAUGUUGCAGGAACCAAUCCAAAAAAGCACUACAGUAUUUUUUACCGCAUCGCAAUAUAUAUUUGGAUUAUCCUUGGCUUGGCUUACUUCAUCCUUCUUCUUCAACAUGUCUCAGAUGUGUUGGAACAUGCAGGGAAAAAGAUAAAGAAGAGAACAAGGACAAUCCGUGAGAUAAAAAAAGGGAAUGGAAAAGAGGUGAAUGAAGAAAAGAAAGAAGUAUGUGGAGAAUGUUGGAAAACUAAUAGAGAAUCAUUGACAAGCAAAAAGGAUAUAAAAGAAAAUGAUGAACAGAAGAUUAUAAUCGAGCAAGUGAAUGAAAAUACGAUUGAGACGGAGGCUGAUGUUAACAUUGAGCUUGUUCAACAACAACCUGCGAGAAACGAGAACCAGCCUAUCAACGUACAGCAGCCAAAUGAUGCAGAAAUGGAGAUGAUUAUCUAGAUCUUAACUCUACAUUGUUUUAAUCUAUUUUUUAAAUAUUUAUGUAAAUUAGAUAACCUUUUUAUAGAUAGAACACGUGGAAUCUAUAUUACUUUUUGGAAAUACAGGAUGCUGUUUUUUAACUAUUUAUUUAUGUAUUAAAAUAUAAGUUCCUUGAGCAAGUUUCUUGAUACAAAAUUCACAAGAAAGUAGACAUUGUCUGGAGUUUCAAAAUGCUCAAACCUGCACAGUUUAUAUUUCCAUUUAAUCCAUUAAAUUAUUUAUUUGGCAACAACAGUACAGAUAAAUUCUGCAGCGAAUCGAUGUAAUUGAUAUGGCUGAAGAUGCCAACUGCUGUUCUAUUGUAGUGCGUGACAAAUAUGAUUUUUCCUGUCAUGUAUCUUUUUGUAUGUAUUCAUGCAGGCAUGUACUUUGCAACUUUUAUAUGCGCCAAUUUCCAUUUCUUUUAUGUUAUUUGACAUUGUAUCAUACUUCUUCACAAAACAUUGAAGAGGAACAAAAGAAAGAAAGUGUUUAGGCCUACAUGGAAACAGGGCAUGAAACAUUGGUAACUAGCAAAAUGCUGUUUUUCAGGGGCAGUUAGCCAGGUUUUUAAAAAUUUUAAAUUCCAAAUUUGACGAAAUGGUAUGUACAUCAUAAAUAAUUUUCUUAGCCAUUGUUUAUGACAAUGUAAUUAGUUUUCUUAAGGUUUCUUCAUUGAGGUGAUUUUAUUCUGAUUAAAUAUAUUACGAGUAUUGUGCUCUAAAUUGACCUUUUUGGUCUGACAAAAAAAAAAGUUCACUGAUACCAAAGUGCUGCUGUAAUGUAGGCCAACCUUAUUUUUGAUGCAGUAUGUAAAUUGUUCUCGUAAUUUCUUUGUAACUCUUUUAUUUGUGCUUCUUAUUUCUUUAUUCACAUUUGGAAUUUUGAGAAUAGCCAUAAUGUAAAUGCUGGGGCUAUGUGCUUACUAUCACUGAAAUUUAUUUAUGUUGUAGUGCAAUUGUUAAUAACCGAAGGGCAACACCUUCAGAAUUAUUUGGAUUGAAUCUCUCUUGGGAAAUAUCAUAGUGACUAAUCAUACUUGUUCAUAAUAAGUGUGGUUUCAAGCAGAAUGAAAGACAAACUGCAUUUGUUAUACAUCUUCAAGUACAUGCACACUUCAUGUGCACGCCAGCUUUACAAUUCACGCAAAUAUUCACACACCGUCUCUAUGGACAUGACACAUACAGUUUGUUUAAUAUGCAGACUGCUCGUACUGUAUGGUUUAUAUUGUUGUGUUACAAUACAGUGGUAAAUAUUUAUAUAAGUCAUGAAGUCUGAAUAUUAAAAUACAGAUCUCCCUCCAAUUAGAGACCAGUACUUUCCAUGGCAGUUUUGGUUUCUCAUUAGAAUAAUAAAGAUAAGAAAUUUGGGACCACAGAAAGGUGGUCCUUAAUUAGAAGUGGUCGUUAAUUGGAGUGGUCUUUAAUUAGAGGGAGACCUGUAAUAAAUUGCUCAUUUAAUAGGAUCAGAUAUGUUAUCCAAUGAGACAGAUUAACCUAUUUAGUUAUCAUUGAUUAUAUGGACAUUUUUGCUGUGUAACAGAACAUAAAACAUCAGAUAUGUUAUCCAAUGAGACAGAUUAACCUAUUUAGUUAUCAUUGAUUAUAUGGACAUUUUUGCUGUGUAACAGAACAUAAAACAUCAGAUAUGUUAUCCAGUGAGACAGAUUAACCUAUUUAGUUAUCAUUGAUUAUAUGGACAUUUUUGCUGUGUAACAGAACAUAAAACAUCAGAUAUGUUAUCCAGUGAGACAGAUUAACCUAUCCCGUUAUCAUUGAUUAUACUGUAUAGACAUUUUGCUGCAAACAUAGCAAAUCAGAUAUGUUAUCCAAUGAGACAGACUAACCUAUUUAGUUAUCAUUGAUUAUAUGGACAUUUUUGCUGUGUAACAGAACAUAAAACAUCAGAUAUGUUAUCCAGUGAGACAGAUUAACCUAUCCCGUUAUCAUUGAUUAUACUGUAUAGACAUUUUGCUGCAAACAUAGCAAAUCAGAUAUGUUAUCCAAUGAGACAGACUAACCUAUUCAGUUUUCAUUGACAUAUAUAGACAUUUUGCUGUGCAACAGAACAUAGAACAUCUGAAUUAGCAAAUAAAUUAUUUAUACUUGCUAUAUUUCAAUUGAUAGCUAAUAACUUAAAUAUGCAAAUAAGCAAAUAAACCAAAUCUCAUCUUUUAUUAUUUUUUUCACAGUUUUCAUUGCUAAUUUUUAUCAAAAAUAACUAUGAAUUCGACUUGACCUUGAUUUACGGUUCCAAAUCCUAAGAUGCCCCAUACUUGUAAAAUAGAGUUUUCACUGUAGAUUUUUUUUUUCUUAUUCACUUUAUGCAUCAAAUAAUUUUUACAUACAACAACAUACACAGAAAAAAUGACAACAGACAAAAUACAAGAAAAGGAGAUGCAAAAGGGUGAGAACGACAGUCUCCAGAAUUAUUAUUUUACAUGAGUGAUGUUUGCCCUACCUAACAUGUUAUCGUACUGAAUACUCAGUAUGUUCCCAAAUACUUGCAGAAUAAAUUCAAAACACACAUCAAAAUAUUAUUAUUUUGUUUACACUAUGCAAUAGAAACAUUAUAAAUAUGCAUCUCGCAUGGACCUAAUCUGAAUUUUCUGAAUUUAUAUUCAGCAAAGGACCACUUAUUUACACUUACAUUAAAAUUUAAUCUAACUCAAUUGCCAAUAAAUAUAUUGGCAAUUGGAUGUCCUUAUUAAAAACUGUAUAUGUACCUUUGAUGAUUUCAAUUGCCAAUGCUAGUCAUGGUACAUUUGUUUAUGUUGAAUUGUGGCAUAUAUUGCACAGGCUAUUUCUUCCCCAAUUGCUCUUUUCAUCUGUAUUGAAGAAUUACAAAAUUAUGCAAAUUCUAUUUAUAUCAGACAUUCUGGCGCAGAUCCAGUGUAUUAAUAAUAGUAUUAAUGACAGAUAAGCAUAAAUGUGUGUAAUAAAAUCAAAAACUUUGAAGGUAUGGGUUCAUUAUAAUUAUCUUGUGCAUGCUAUGAUUAUGUGACAUGUAAAAGUCAGGAAAACUUUUGAAACAUCAAAACUAAUUUUUUAAUGGAAAGUAGAAAAGACAGAAGUUAUAGAUGUCAAGAUGUUUUAAUGAAGUGAAUCAUUUACCAUAUAUUUAUUACAUAUUUAAUUAACCUGAUGUUUAUUUUGUAGACAGAUUUCUAUUUUAGUUAAUUUUUGAUUUGUUCAUUGUUAUCUUUAUAGCUUUUAAAUGCUAACAAAAUUUCGAACUCAUCUGUUUGUUUUUUUAAAUGUUGAACACACUGAUUCAUAUAUCUGGAUCUCACAGGGUUUAAUUUCUCUUGUUCUGGUCAACCUCCUAUUAAUCUACAAUCAAUUUUUUGAUUUGUACUUAAAUGUGGCCUAACAACAUUUAAAAACUUGGCUAAAGAUAGUUGAUUUACAUGACAUUAUGUAAGUUGCAUAACAUUUAACAAUUUUGGAAAAGCUUGGUGAUGUAAACUGUUUCAAUUGGCGUAAUAUUUUUUAAAAUGUGAUGUUUCAAAUGUUUUGUUGUGGUUUUAACAUGUUGCUUUGGUACUUGCAGGCCACCAUAUUAAAUGUUAAUAAAUUGUGCAACUUUUGGCUGCAAUAAUUUGCUGUAUUAAGUUAUACCAUGUGUAUAAUAAUGUAGUAAAAUAGUAUGCAUUAGGCUUCCAUUUUGGCCAGUAGUUUUGUGGAGUAAUACCUAUCGAAUAACUCUGAAAUAUUAUGUAAACAUAAUGGAGCAAAUAUAAUGAUAAAGCAUACAUACAUGAUUCAUUUUAUACAGUCUGGGCUGUAAGUUUUUAAGAAUAUGGCACCUACUACAUUAUUAUUAAAUUUUUACUUUAGAUAA
rnacentral:misc_RNA from 1 species